UAACCUGGUUGAUCCUGCCAGUUGUUAUACGCUCAGUUCAACGACUUAGCCAUGUAUGCCUAGACCAAGCAUUUGAUCUGCAAAUCUGCGGAUGGCUCCUUAUAAUAGUUGUAGUUUGUCCAAUUAUCAAAUCUAUAUGGAUACCUCUUGGGAACUGGAGCUAAUACGUGCGUAAACGGGCCUCGGCCCUGCAUUUAUUAGGUUACCCAACUGUUUUCGAACACGGUGGAUUCAUAAUAACUUUAGCGGACCGGCUCUGCCGGCAAAUUGGGUAAGCUUCUACCCCAUCACCUGGUGUGUAGUGUAUUGGACUACACAGGGGAUCACGGGUACGGAGGUUGUGGGAUCGACUCCGGAGAGAACGCUUUAGAUUCGGCGUUCACGUCUAAGGGCGGCAGCAGGCGCGCAACCUUCCCAAUCAGCAGUGCUGGAGGGGGGGACGAACCAUAUUGUGGUGGGCUUUGCCCACAAAUGAAAUGAUCGCAUUCUAAACCGGUGCGAUAAAGCGAGGAGAGGGCAAGUCUGGUGCCAGCAGCCGCGGUAAUACCAGCUCUCCUAGUGUAUGCAAAAGUUGCUGCAGUUAAAACGCUCCUACUCGGUGAUUUGGGUAUAUGCGUGGACGGGACUUCGGUCUUUGAUCCAUGUGUUUGCCCUUCUGCACUCGUGCUUGCACGGGUGCCGGUUACCAUGAUUAAAUUGUAGUGCUCAGAGCAGGCUAAACGCAGCUGAACAACUUAGCAUGGGAUAACAAGUCACGACUCUUCGUGUCUUGUUGGCGUGAUUCGACAGAGUAAUGAGUAAUAGGGGCGGUUGGGGGCCUUAGUACGAUGCCGUUAGAGGUGGAAUUCCAAGAUCGGCGUCAGACUAACUGAAGCGAAAGCGUUGGCCAAGGACGCUCUCAUUGAUCAAGAACGAUAGCAGGGGGAUAGAAGGCGAUUAGACACCACCGUAUUCCCUGCCAUAAACGAUACCGACUACGGAAUUGGUAGAACUAUUGAUUCUCUCAGCGCCUUUUGGGAAACCAAAGUCUUCAGGUUCUGGGGGGAGUCUGGUCGCAAGGCUGAAACUUAAAGGAAUUGACGGAAGGGCACCACAAAGCGUGGAUGUUGCGGCUUAAUUUGAGUCAACACGGGACAACUUACCAGGGGCAGAGAGUACAGGGAUGGACGCAUUAGAGGUGCUUCUUGAUUUACUCAGUAGUGGUGCAUGGCCGUUCUUAGCUCGUGGGUUGGCCUGUCUGCUUGAUUGCGAUAACGAACGAGACCCCCGCCUGCUAACUAGCCGAUUGAACCUUCAUAUCGGCUUCUUAGAGGGACAACGCCCGCAAGGGCGAGGAAGCAGGGGGCGAUAAUCAGGUCUGUGAUGCCCA
rnacentral:rRNA from 1 species